rfam:Triticum aestivum genome assembly, contig: Triticum_aestivum_CS42_TGACv1_scaffold_146358_2BS
GUUGUACUCCCUCCGUCUGAAAAUAUUUGUCUUAGAAAUGGUUGUAUCCAGACUUAUUUUAAUUAUAGAUACAUCCAUUUUAUCCAUUUUUAGGACAAGUAUUCCCGGACGGAGGGAGUACAAG